UGCGCUUAAGUCCAAAGUAAUUCAUUUUAGAUCGCGUCGAAGAAAUAUUGGAAAUGUAGAUAUUCUAUUAGAUAACAAAAUAUUAGAAGAAGUAGAGAUAAAUUAAACGAAAAAUUAAGUGUUUUUAAUGGCAUAAUGUAUAAAUACAAAAAUAAGAUACCUAGAGAAAUCAAAAUGAAUAUGUACAGUGCUUUAAUUCACUCUAUAUUGUCAUAUGGUUUGCCGCUGUUAUAUGGUUCUUUUGACCUUUAUUUCGAAAAUAGGAUCCUGCCUAUAAGGAGUAUUUACCAGUACCAAGUAAUUUUGGCAAUCUAUAAAAUACUUAAUAAUAUUGGUUAUUCUAAUAUCUUUUCGAUUGAAAGAUAUUCACAUAGGUUUAAUACUAGGCACAGGAAUAACAUUCGUGUUUGUAGGAGCGGUUCCGUAAUGUCGUCUCAAAGAUUAUCUGUCGCCGGUUCUAGAUUAUACAAUAAUCUGCCGAGCAAUCUAAAAAAUAUACCGGAUAUUGGUCGUUUUAAAAUUGAAUUAAAAGAACUCUUACUAUCCUCAGCUCGCUUGAACGAAAUCUUGAAUUAAUUAU